rnacentral:tRNA from 1 species
UAGGAGGUGGUGUAGGGGAAACACGAAGAGCUUUGAUCUCUUAGGCGGGGGUUCAAGUCCCCCUCUUCUAU